UUUGAUUAGUUUAUGUGUUUUUCAAUUAUUUUGCAAAAUAAAGGAAUUAGAAUAAUGUAGAUGAUGAACAAUGAACGUCUGUCAAAAAAGCAACGUUCGCAAAAAAACUGUCCAUCAACUCGGUUAUUGUGUGAUUAUGUAUUGGGUGGGGAUUCAAAGUUAGUGUUAAACUUGGUACUUUCUGGUUUUACAGGUGGUUUCUUAAGUUUUGAAGCCAUAACCAGAAAUUUUAUUGAAAAAAGGUUGCUAACGUAAUUUCUGUCAAUUUUAGUGAAUGACGUUCGCACAUUUGUUCCUCAGUUUAUAGCUGUUACUUCCUUUUUUUGCGUAGUGACAAGAAACUACGAUUAAAUCUGUAAGUAUCCGAAUGCAAAAACAUGGCCGAAUUGAGACGCUCAAUUACAUGAUCCAAAUUAUUUUGAUGACUCGAAGCAUUUGAAGACUUGUGGCGAUGAUUUGGCGGACAGUUUGAUUGAAGACAUUGGUAUACCUGCUUCCAAGCAAAGUGACUCGAAGCAAUUGAAGACUUGUGGCGAUGAUUUGGCGGACAGUUUGAUUGAAGACAUUGGCAUACCUGCUACCAAGCUAAGGUAAACUAUGAAUAGUAAAUGAAACAAUUUCUCUUUGUAUACCCACCCUAUAAAAUGCCGGGCAUGAUGGCGCGGUGGUAAGUGCACUUGUUUUUCAUUUUGAGAGUUGUAGCUUUGAUUCUCGGUCAGGCCAUUUCUCUCUGACCAAUUGAUAAAAGUCCUUGUGUCUUAAGUCUUUAGUCUCGCACCUCUGUUUCAAGUGAGGCAGAAAAAGAGGUAAUAUGUCUAAAAUGAUAUGGAGAGUGUGUGCACAAGUUAAUUUUUGAAUCAGUUUUUAAAGGCAUGGUUAUCAGUUUUUAAAGGUCUACAUUUC